UACGUAGGGUGCAAGCGUUGUCCGGAAUUAUUGGGCGUAAAGAGCUCGUAGGUGGCCUGUCGCGUCGGCUGUGAAAACUCGGGGCUCAACUCCGAGCUUGCAGUCGAUACGGGCAGGCUAGAGUUCGGCAGGGGAGACUGGAAUUCCUGGUGUAGCGGUGAAAUGCGCAGAUAUCAGGAGGAACACCGGUGGCGAAGGCGGGUCUCUGGGACGGUACUGACGCUGAGACGCGAAAGCGUGGGGAGCGAACAGG
rnacentral:rRNA from 1 species